UUUAAUAUAUUGUAGAGAUGCUAAAUCUGCCUGAAGUUACUAAGAAAGAGUGUGGUCGUGAUUAGACACCUUUUCAUUUAACCUCUCUGCGUUGUAACCGAUAGUCACAUUUAAAGAAACUAUUUCCAGGUGUUGUGCAAUCUGUGAUACCGAAAUCAGAGCAGAGUGUCUUCUUGACGCGGCGGCUCACCGGCCAGAGCCCUAGGGCCAGUUGAAGGGGCUGCCCGCCAGCAGCGAGUCCCGGCUUCCCUCACAGACGCAGUGAGGGGGGAGGACUUCGAAAGCGCGAGAGACUGGGGUCAGACCCUGGGAAGAACCGGCAGACAGAAAGCAGGUGUAGCAGUGUUAGGAGCCGAUUGUCUAAUGAAUAUACAGGUGUGUGUUUUUAAAGCCUGAUAAUUUUAGACAUAACUUUCUCCAGGUUUUGUAUUUCUAUAUUUUAGUUUUCAUGUAUCCAUUUGAAAGGCAGAGAGUAAUUCUACUGUGUGUGUGUGGCAGGAACCCAAUUCCUUGAGCCCUCCUGUGCUGCCUCC